AUACUCUGAUUUCUCUUCAAAACGAACAAAUCUUUCGCCUUUUACUAAAGAUUUCCAUGGAGAGGGACAGUUAUGAGUUGGUAACCAAAUUUUUUGAGGUCUUGCUUAGGCAAGGCU
rnacentral:snRNA from 1 species